rnacentral:rRNA from 1 species
ACGAACGCUGGCGGCGUGCUUCACACAUGCACGUCGAACGGAAAGGCCCUGCUUUUGUGGGGUGCUCGAGUGGCGAACGGGUGAGUAACACGUGAGUAACCUGCCCUUGACUUUGGGAUAACUUCAGGAAACUGGGGCUAAUACCGGAUAGGAGCUCCUGCUGCAUGGUGGGGGUUGGAAAGUUUCGGCGGUUGGGGAUGAACUCGCGGCUUAUCAGCUUGUUGGUGGGGUAGUGGCUUACCAAGGCUUUGACGGGUAGCCGGCCUGAGAGGGUGACCGGCCACAUUGGGACUGAGAUACGGCCCAGACUCCUACGGGAGGCAGCAGUGGGGAAUAUUGCACAAUGGGCGGAAGCCUGAUGCAGCAACGCCGCGUGCGGGAUGACGGCCUUCGGGUUGUAAACCGCUUUCGCCUGUGACGAAGCGUGAGUGACGGUAAUGGGUAAAGAAGCACCGGCUAACUACGUG